UGUAACUCUAGUUCCACGUUGACCUAGGGC
rnacentral:piRNA from 1 species